ACACACAGGAAGAAAUCUAUCCAUAGUUGCAGAGACAGCUACUGCUCCCUGCCAACAACGUCUGCCUUCUGUCUGGGCUGGGCUGCUAACCCAAAGAGGAGACAAAACGCCGCCGCCGCCCACCAGUAGUGCUGAGGUUUGCAGCAAGGAGUCAGCAAAAGGCAGGGAGAACCAACCUAAAAAGCCUCGCGACUGUGCCGCAGAGGGGAUACAGAGUCGGGAGGCGCAGGCAGACAAGCUGAUGGCACGAAACAAAACAGGGCAAACAGCAAUGUGAGCGGUGGCCGCGGAAGCCAGACGCAUAACAGCGGCGGCAGCAACGGCAUUGACCCGGAGGAUGCUGAGGGUGGCCAGAAACACGGAGCUUGCCCCUUCGUUGGCGGGGACAGCAAUGGCGGCUCACCGGGCCCAUGAAAAAGGCAGUCAUAGCUUAGAUAGCUCCCAGCCUGACAAAAGCCGCCGGUAUUUUAACUUCAGAUAGGCGAACAUGGGAGGCACUCGAGGGGUGGGGACCCCAGAGCUUCAGGUAGAAUUUCAGGUAACAUGGAAAACACGGGAAAAUAGCUCUGGCCACGCGACCGCAGCAUCAUGGCGCACCCCUUCAAGCCCCGCCUCCUGGCCUUCCUCUGGCUUCCUCUUGGUCCCUCCCGCCCAUCCCUAGGGCGGGACUUCCGCCCGCCCUCCAGCAUUGCGGAACCUGUAUCUCACAGCAUUGCUAUUUCUCACAAGCAAACACCCAGCUAGAAGUUUUUCUUUCGUUGACGAGGGAUU
rnacentral:lncRNA from 1 species